UCCCAGACUCCUACGGGAGGCAGCAGUGGGGAAUAUUGCACAAUGGGGGAAACCCUGAUGCAGCGACGCCGCGUGAGUGAAGAAGUAUUUCGGUAUGUAAAGCUCUAUCAGCAGGGAAGAAAAUGACGGUACCUGACUAAGAAGCCCCGGCUAACUACGUGCCAGCAGCCGCGGUAAUACGUAGGGGGCAAGCGUUAUCCGGAUUUACUGGGUGUAAAGGGAGCGUAGACGGUGAUGCAAGUCAGAGGUGAAAGCCCGCGGCUCAACUGCGGGACUGCUUUUGAAACUGUAUGACUGGAGUGCAGGAGAGGUAAGCGGAAUUCCUAGUGUAGCGGUGAAAUGCGUAGAUAUUAGGAGGAACACCAGUGGCGAAGGCGACUUUCUGGACUGUACCUGACGCUGAGGCGCGAAAGCGUGGGUAGCGAACGGGAUUAGAUACCCGAGUAAG
rnacentral:rRNA from 1 species